UUGAUUUGGGGAUUUUUCUUGUAAGUAAAAUUAUGCUAAAUUGAAUGAGUAAUAGUCUAUAUUAGGGUAGUUUACAGACAUUUUAUGCAUAUUUUGGAUGUAAUUGGUUUGUUAUUGGCAUAUGAUCGGUUUUGUUUGUGUUUGCAUAUACUAAUUUGUUUGGGUAUAUGUUUUUGACGAGGGUACAUGGAUAAACAAGCAUAGAUGGUUCAUCAAGCAGAGUCAGAUGGCAUGUUUUUGACGAGUGUAUCACAUAUACAAAGGUUAACUUGGGAGACAAUAAAGAGCUGAUGUUGGAAGCAAUCAAGCAUUCUUUGCAGUGCAAAUGCAAGGGAUAUGAUGGAGUAAUGAUCGUUGGUUUUGAUGACUUCAAUGGGAAGAUGGCUUGUAUUUGAUGGUG